CGCACCCCUGGUACCUGCCCCAGGCCGAGGUGGCGGCCAAGCUGCUGAGCCUGCUGCAGGAGUCGGGGGGCUCGGCCGAGGGUCCCUCCCUGCGCCUCAAGAUCGGGCACUUGGUGCGGUACUGGGUCCGCGCUUUCCCGCGGGAGCUCUCGGGGGACCCCCCGGUCCUGGAGCGGCUCCGGGAAUUGGG